UGGCUACCAGCAGGUAGGAGGCUGUACGCGGCUGUGCUCUCGGGCCAGUUUUGCGGAGGCUGAAUUAUUUAUUACCCUUGUCUUUUGCGCACUUGUUGUUUCCUGGGCGGGUUCGCCCGCCACCAGGACCACAUCAUAAACCUUUUUUAUGCAGUUGCAAUCAGCGUCAGUAUAACAAAUGUAAAUCAUUUACAACUUUCAACAACGGAUCUCUUGGUUCUGGCAUCGAUGAAGAACGCAGCGAAAUGCGAUACGUAGUGUGAAUUGCAGAAUUCAGUGAAUCAUCGAAUCUUUGAACGCACAUUGCGCCCUUUGGUAUUCCAAAGGGCAUGCCUGUUCGAGCGUCAUUUGUACCCUCAAGCUUUGCUUGGUGUUGGGCGUUUUUUGUCUUUGGUUGCCAAAGACUCGCCUUAAAAGGAUUGGCAGCCGGCCUACUGGUUUCGCAGCGCAGCACAUUUUUGCGCUUGCAAUCAGCAAAAGAGGACGGCAAUCCAUCAAGACUCCUUCUCACGUUUGACCUCGGAUCAGGUAGGGAUACCCGCUGAACUUAAGCAUAUCAA
rnacentral:rRNA from 1 species